GUCUCAGUUCGGAUUGUAGUCUGCAACUCGACUACAUGAAGCUGGAAUCGCUAGUAAUCGCGAAUCAGCAUGCCGCGGUGAAUACGUUCCCGGGCCUUGUACACACCGCCCGUCACACCAUGAGAGUCGGGAACACCCGAAGUCCGUAGCCUAACCGCAAGGGGGGCGCGGCCGAAGGUGGGUUCGAUAAUUGGGGUGAAGUCGUAACAAGGUAUC
rnacentral:rRNA from 1 species